rnacentral:rRNA from 1 species
UGGCGGCGCGCCUAACACAUGCAAGUCGAACGAGAGAGAGGAAGCUUGCUUCCUCAAUCGAGUGGCGAACGGGUGAGUAACGCGUGAGGAACCUGCCUCAAAGAGGGGGACAACAGUUGGAAACGACUGCUAAUACCGCAUAAGCCCACAGCUCGGCAUCGAGCAGAGGGAAAAGGAGCAAUCCGCUUUGAGAUGGCCUCGCGUCCGAUUAGCUAGUUGGUGAGGUAACGGCCCACCAAGGCGACGAUCGGUAGCCGGACUGAGAGGUUGAACGGCCACAUUGGGACUGAGACACGGCCCACACUCCUACGGGAGGCAGCAGUGGGGAAUAUUGCACAAUGGGGGAAACCCUGAUGCAGCGACGCCGCGUGGAGGAAGAAGGUCUUCGGAUUGUAAACUCCUGUUGUUGAGGAAGAUAAUGACGGUACUCAACAAGGAAGUGACGGCUAACUACGUGCCAGCAGCCGCGGUAAAAACGUAGGUCACAAGCGUUGUCCGGAAUUACUGGGUGUAAAGGGAGCGCAGGCGGGAGAACAAGUUGAAAGUGAAAUCCUUGCGCCCCACCCCAUGAACUGCUUUUCAAAACUGUUUUUUCUUGAGUAAGGGCAAAGGAAGGCGGAAAUUCCCGGGUGUAGCGGUGGAAAGCGUAGAUAUUGGGAGGAACACCAGUGGCGAAGGCGGCCUACUGGGCACCAACUGACGCUGAGGCUCGAAAGUGUGGGUAGCAAACAGGAUUAGAUACCCUGGUAGUCCACACCGUAAACGAUGGUUACUAGGUGUUGGAGGAUUGACCCCUUCAGUGCCGCAGUUAACACAAUAAGUAAUCCACCUGGGGAGUACGACCGCAAGGUUGAAACUCAAAGGAAUUGACGGGGGCCCGCACAAGCAGUGGAGUAUGUGGUUUAAUUCGACGCAACGCGAAGAACCUUACCAAGUCUUGACAUCCCUUGACGAUGCUGGAAACAGUAUUUCUCUUCGGAGCAAGGAGACAGGUGGUGCAUGGUUGUCGUCAGCUCGUGUCGUGAGAUGUUGGGUUAAGUCCCGCAACGAGCGCAACCCUUAUGGUCAGUUACUACGCAAGAGGACUCUGGCCAGACUGCCGUUGACAAAACGGAGGAAGGUGGGGAUGACGUCAAAUCAUCAUGCCCUUUAUGACUUGGGCUACACACGUACUACAAUGGCGUUAAACAAAGAGAAGCAAGACCGCGAGGUGGAGCAAAACUCAGAAACAACGUCCCAGUUCGGACUGCAGGCUGCAACUCGCCUGCACGAAGUCGGAAUUGCUAGUAAUCGUGGAUCAGCAUGCCACGGUGAAUACGUUCCCGGGCCUUGCACU